rnacentral:rRNA from 1 species
CCCUUAGAUGUUCUGGGCCGCACGCGCGCUACACUGACGAAUGCAACGAGCUUAUAACCUUGGCCGAAAGGUCUGGGUAAUCUCCAAAUUUCGUCGUGAUGGGGAUAGAUUAUUGCAAUUAUUAAUCUUCAACGAGGAAUGCCUAGUAAGCGCAAGUCAUCAGCUUGCGUUGAUUACGUCCCUGCCCUUUGUACACACCGCCCGUCGCUCCUACCGAUUGAAUGGUCCGGUGAAAUCUCCGGACUGGCGUGAGUCGGAGCAAUCUGACAAACGCCGGAAAGUUGAUUAAACCUUACCAUUUAGAGGAAGGUGAANUCGUAACA